rnacentral:lncRNA from 1 species
UUUGUUUUGUUUUUGGGAAGGGGGCCAUGUCACAGGUUACUAUAGAAACAACCCCCAAACUAGAUGGGUGACGAAGCUGUUAUUCCUCAGGGAGGCUCUUCGACUUGAACCAAUUGUGGGGUCAUUCUUUAGAAAACGGCUGUUUUUGCUCUGGGAACAUUUCUAAGUUCUUUCUUCUUCCUUUGCCUCAGUUGGGGGCAGCAUCGCUUCUGGAUCACCUCUGAUCGCUUCCUUUUCCCAGCUUUGUUGACAUAUAGUGUACACAUCACAAUGCUUAUCCACUGUACAAUUCAACCACUCUUAGUACAUCUGCAGGCCUGUGCAGCCACCAGCACGAUCUGGCUUUAGAACGUUCCCACUACCCCAGAAAGGUCUCUCGUGCCCCUGAGCAAUCAAUUUCCAAUCCCUUCCCCAGACCCUGACACAGGAAUCCACUUGCUAUCUCUAGAGACUUCUCUAUUCUGAACAUUUCACAGACCCAAACUCUGCCAAGGUUCCACACUGGCUGUGACUGGAGCAGAUGUCUCCACCUUCUGGAUACGAGUGUCCUCAUCUGUAAGAUUUUCCUUGUGCUAAAUCAUGGAAAUCUUUCAAGAAAAUCCGGGCUUUAAACACUUUCAAUAGAACAAAAGUCGUCCUAAACAUUUGCCUCUGUGCCUCUCCACAUUCUGUUCCUUAUUUCCACACUGUUUA